ACAAGCUCCACAGUAAGUUGCAUGCUCAGAAUCUUUAGGUUAUGGUAAGUUAAAAAUUAAAUAAAACCCCAACUGUUUAAAAUAUCUGAAGACAGGGUCGGCUUCAGCCCUCCACUCCUGUUCCAGCAGCAGAAGGAGUGGGAGCUCUAACCACGAAGGACUCUCAUGCGUUAAGGAGGUGCCUGGUGUCAUUUUGAAGAGUCUCAAAAGAUGGCACUGCCAGAAGUUCUGAGGAAACAAUUUGUGCUCCACAUGCUGAGGGAUCCAGGAUUCCAUGAGAUGGGCACGAAGGCUGGAGUCAAUGAAGCAGAGCUUCCUCUCCUCAGCAGCUCUAUACACAGGGAGACAAUACAUAUGCGGAAUAACAAGAAGGAAGUGUGGAUCACUAUCAAACUGAAGUUUGAAUUCCAGUUUGUUCAUUUGGAAUCAUUGAAAUUUUAGCAACAGGUCUGAUGGAAAAUUAUUUCUGACUUACACACAUUUUGACAUACAAUAACAAGGCAGUUGCUCCAUUGCUAAAUCCAGUUUUAAAAAAUCAAUACGCACAUCUUUACUUUGAUAACAAUUUCAGCAACAUUCAACAAAAAGACUAGCUAAUACUGGCACAGCAUGAAAUAUUAGCCCAGAUUUUACUGGAUGUGCCACAAGAUGUGUCCGAUUCCCCUGAGUGCCUAGAUGCACUGCCGACAAAGAAAUUGCCUGGAGAACUUAAAUUUCUGAUGGGAAACUACCUGGAGUUCAAACCAUCUGGAAAAUCUCCAUGUAUGACGUAUGAGUCAUCAUUAAGGCGGCUUCCAACUCACUUACCUAGACAGUUAUCCAGAAACUGUUACUCAGCUUAAAAAAAAAUGCCUAGCUCCGAGGUAAAUACAACUGAUACCACUAACUCCCUCCAUAUUCACCCAUCAACAACCUCCACCCUGAAGAUUCUAUCCUGCCCUCCCCCAGUUGCAGCCCCUCUCGCCAUUCUGCCCCUUUAACACCUACAUAGAUGACAAAUACAGCUUUACAUUUACAUAAAGCUCUUUGUGAACUCUGGACAACUCGGAGCAUUUUAACAGCUAACCUCUUACAUAGCAGACUCCCAAAACAGCAUUGUGUGAAUGAUUAGAAAAUCUUCCAUUACAUUGAUUGAAGGGUAGAUAAUGGUCAGGGCAGUAGGUCAAAGGGUUUUGCAUUGGCAUAUCUUGGAAAAGAUAUAUACUACCCAGGAAAUUUCCACAUAGUUUCAGUUAUCAAUAAUUUCAUUGGAGAAAAUUGAGUGAUGCCACUUCAGUGCCACAGUUAUGCUGUAAUAUUACAGGCAAUUAUAUCUAUAUAAUAAAAAUAAAUGCCACAUCAAACAAUUGCUUGAAGUCAAAACAUUAAAAUUAGCAUCAUGUUUUCUCGAAACUAUACCUCUCCAAAGAAUUUUCAGCAAGUAAACACUACAGUUCAAUAAUUUUAACUUGCAACAUUUUCGAAAUACCACUUGGCCCAUUAUUUCCCAAGGCACUACAUCACUAGCCUUCACAUCAACUACAUGCACUGUGUUCAUGAAAUUCUGAGAUUAGCUAUUUCUAAGGCUUCGCAACCGGCCAUUUACACAUAAUCAAACACUUUUGCAAAAGUGGCUAGAGUAGCUAUACUCAAUCUCUACCUAGCUUUCUCAUCUCAUCUCUCCUCUCCUCUCACUGGCAUUCGGUGUUCUUGUUCUUACUAUGAAAGAGAUUUUACACUACUUGCCAAACUUGCACCCAAUGUACUCCAUUCAAACAUCUGAUCUCCUGUUAAUUUAAUUGUACUUUGUUUAGAACAUUUAAAAUAUAAUCCCCUCCAAGUUAAACAAUAAUCAGAAGUGCUUAAUUGAACACUCAUAUACACAAAACAGGGUUAAGGAUACUUAAACUCAUAGGAUCAACAUUAUAUAGCAUAGGUCAGUCUGGAUAAUGUACCAAACUAGAGCUUUAAGGACAGAAUUAAUUUAUCCACAUGUUCACAAAUGUAUAAACAAUCAGCAACUGAGAUAUGUGACAAGUGUUUAUUUGGAAACCAUGCUAACACUUGCAGUUCUUCUUCAAUACAGGAAAAGGUAUCUCCGUUCUCUGCAUCCAAAACUUAAAUCUGAAGAAACCCAGUUCAUCUAGCCUGCAACUUUUGUUGUAACUUGUUAUCUUUUAACUGAUAAGUCAGAGAUUCUUCGUAAGUGAACUGGCUACCUUGUGUCUUUUUCCACCAACUAACGGAAGUCUCCAAAGGAAGACAAUUGAAGCAACGUGCUGGCCAGCAGAAGAGAUAUAAGAAUGAUCUCAAUGCAGAACCUGGGAAUAAGGACUAAUGAACUGUCUUUCCAGACUUUCCCCCUCUGUUCAAUAAGCAAUUUUCCCCAACUGGUCGUCUGUGUGUGCAUAUAAAGGGGAGAUUAUACAGAGUUUAUAAUAAAAAACUAUAGGCCAGCACAGUGGCUCAGUGGUUAGCACUGCAGCCUCACAGCGCCAGGGACCCAGGUUCGAUUCCCACCUCGGGCGACUGUCUGUGUGGAGUUUGUACAUUCUCCCCGUGUCUGCAUGGGUUUCCUCCGGGUGCUCCGGUUUCCUCCCACAGUCCAAAGAUGUGCAGGUUAGAUGGAUUGGCCAUGCUAAAUUGCCCAUAGUUUUCAAGGGUGCGUGGGUUAUAGGGGGAUCGGUCUGGGUGGGAUGCUUCAAGGGGCGGUGUAGACUUGUUGGGCCGAAGGGCCUGUUUCCAUACUGUAGGGAAACUAAUCUAAUCUAAUCUAUAACCAUCAGAGUUAUAUCCUGACAGUUUAUAACCUUAACGCCAGUUCAUCUGAUACUUGUAAUAAAUAGCAAUUCUAUCUCAGUACAGAAACCAGGUCUGUGCUACCUAUUAAUCUAUGUGUGGAAACCAGGUAAAUUGGAACUUUUUCUUACUUUACAACAUCUUUAACUUGCGUGAUUACUACCUAAAUGAUUUCUAGUGCACUAACCCAGUUAGCAGUGACAGUUGAUGUAAUUGACAGAUGAUGGCCUUGAUGCAAAGGGAAAACAUAGGGUGGCUAGAGAGAAAUUAUUUCCACUGAUCAGCAGAUCUAAGGUUAGAAACAUUAGUUUAGAAAAAAAGAGUUAGACUUUUCAGGAGUCAAAUUAGGAAAAAGGUUCAAAACGCAAAAUGGUAGAAGUUUGUAAUUCUCUUCCAAAAACUGCAAUUGAUAUUCAAUGAAUUGUUCAUUUUAAUUCUGGGCUCAAUUAGAUUUCUGUUGCCCAAAUGUUUUAAGGGACAUGGACAAAGACAGAUUUGUUCAGACAUAAUCUCAAUGAUGAUUAAAUAUGUUUGAGAGAUUA